ACCGCGGGAGGAGUUGUGACGCGCAUCCUUGAUAUGCGCUGCCGGUGAUGAAACGGGUUGGCCGCGGGAAGCGCAAGCGUUGCGCGGUUGCUGGCGUCUCGGGUUGGCGGCGGAUGGGACACUGGCGGGGCACAAGUGUUGCUCGUCCCUCCGGUGGCUGGUCUAGCCGACGAGUGCGCAGAAACCUUCAGGCGGCAAGGGCUUCCUGAGGAAGAAGACAAUGCCUUAAAAUACCAUUCUGC
rnacentral:lncRNA from 1 species